rnacentral:rRNA from 1 species
UGGGGAAUAUUGGACAAUGGGCGAAAGCCUGAUCCAGCCAUGCCGCGUGUGUGAAGAAGGUCUUCGGAUUGUAAAGCACUUUAAGUUGGGAGGAAGGGCAGUAAGCGAAUACCUUGCUGUUUUGACGUUACCGACAGAAUAAGCACCGGCUAACUCUGUGCCAGCAGCCGCGGUAAUACAGAGGGUGCAAGCGUUAAUCGGAAUUACUGGGCGUAAAGCGCGCGUAGGUGGUUCGUUAAGUUGAAUGUGAAAGCCCCGGGGUCAACCUGGGAACUGCAUCCAAAACUGGCGAGCUAGAGUAGGGCAGAGGGUGGUGGAAUUUCCUGUGUAGCGGUGAAAUGCGUAGAUAUAGGAAGGAACACCAGUGGCGAAGGCGACCACCUGGGCUCAUACUGACACUGAGGUGCGAAAGCGUGGGGAGCAAACAGG